UACGUAGGGUGCGAGCGUUAAUCGGAAUUACUGGGCGUAAAGCGUGCGCAGGCGGUUAUUUAAGUCAGGUGUGAAAGCCCUGGGCUUAACCUAGGAAUUGCGCUUGAAACUGGAUAGCUUGGAGUGCGGCAGAGGGAGGUGGAAUUCCACGUGUAGCAGUGAAAUGCGUAGAGAUGUGGAGGAACACCGAUGGCGAAGGCAGCCUCCUGGGCCAGCACUGACGCUCAUGCACGAAAGCGUGGGGAGCAAACAGG
rnacentral:rRNA from 1 species